rnacentral:rRNA from 1 species
GAACGCUAGCUACAGGCUUAACACAUGCAAGUCGAGGGGCAGCAUGGUCUAGCUUGCUAAGGCCGAUGGCGACCGGCGCACGGGUGAGUAACACGUAUCCAACCUGCCGUCUACUCUUGGACAGCCUUCUGAAAGGAAGAUUAAUACAAGAUGGCAUCAUGAGUCCACAUGUUCACAUGAUUAAAGGUAUUCCGGUAGACGAUGGGGAUGCGUUCCAUUAGAUAGUAGGCGGGGUAACGGCCCACCUAGUCUUCGAUGGAUAGGGGUUCUGAGAGGAAGGUCCCCCACAUUGGUACUGAGACACGGACCAAACUCCUACGGGAGGCAGCAGUGAGGAAUAUUGGUCAAUGGGCGCGAGCCUGAACCAGCCAAGUCGCGUGAGGGAUGAAGGUUCUAUGGAUCGUAAACCUCUUUUAUAAGGGAAUAAAGUGCGGGACGUGUCCCGUUUUGUAUGUACCUUAUGAAUAAGGAUCGGCUAACUCCGUG